rnacentral:tRNA from 1 species
GCCGACGUAGCUCAGCCGGUAGAGCAGCGGUUUCGUAAACCGCAGGUCGUCAGUUCGAGCCUGACCGUCGGCU